rnacentral:rRNA from 1 species
AUUGAACGCUGGCGGCAGGCUUAACACAUGCAAGUCGAGCGGAGAUGAGGUGCUUGCACCUUAUCUUAGCGGCGGACGGGUGAGUAAUGCUUAGGAAUCUGCCUAUUAGUGGGGGACAACAUUCCGAAAGGAAUGCUAAUACCGCAUACGCCCUACGGGGGAAAGCAGGGGAUCUUCGGACCUUGCGCUAAUAGAUGAGCCUAAGUCGGAUUAGCUGGUUGGUGGGGUAAAGGCCUACCGAGGCGACGAUCUGUAGCGGGUCUGAGAGGAUGAUCCGCCACACUGGGACUGAGACACGGCCCAGAAUCCUACGGGAGGCAGCAGUGGGGAAUAUUGGACAAUGGGCGGAAGCCUGAUCCAGCCAUGCCGCGUGUGUGAAGAAGGCCUUUUGGUUGUAAAGCACUUUAAGCGAGGAGGAGGCUCUUAAGGUUAAUACCCUUGAUGAGUGGACGUUACUCGCAGAAUAAGCACCGGCUAACUCUGUGCCAGCCGCCGCGGUAAUAC